AAGCGCCGGUAAGGUGAUAUGAACCGUUAUAACCGGCGAUACCCGAAUGGGGAAACCCAGUGUGACUCGUCACACUAUCAUUAACUGAAUCCAUAGGUUAAUGAGGCGAACCGGGGGAACUGAAACAUCUAAGUACCCCGAGGAAAAGAAAUCAACCGAGAUUCCCCCAGUAGCGGCGAGCGAACGGGGAGGAGCCCAGAGCCUGAAUCAGCAUGUGUGUUAGUGGAAGCGUCUGGAAAGGCGCGCGAUACAGGGUGACAGCCCCGUACACAAAAGCGCAUGUGCUGUGAGCUCGAUGAGUAGGGCGGGACACGUGGUAUCCUGUCUGAAUAUGGGGGGACCAUCCUCCAAGGCUAAAUACUCCUGACUGACCGAUAGUGAACCAGUACCGUGAGGGAAAGGCGAAAAGAACCCCGGCGAGGGGAGUGAAAAAGAACCUGAAACCGUGUACGUACAAGCAGUGGGAGCACAGGUUUACCUGUGUGACUGCGUACCUUUUGUAUAAUGGGUCAGCGACUUAUAUUCUGUAGCAAGGUUAACCGUAUAGGGGAGCCGUAGGGAAACCGAGUCUUAAC
rnacentral:rRNA from 1 species